UCCGGCCGAAAGUUCCCUCAAGAUAGCAAAAGCUCGUUACAAACAGUUUUGUGAGGUAAAGCGACUGAUUGAAUGCCAUGGAGCAAAAUAGCCUAAGCGUAUUCUCGAGCUUUAAACAUGUGAGAAGCCUCACUUAUUUAGUUGUAGGCAAAAAUGUAGAGCGUUUAGUGGGUCUUUUUGGCAAGCAGAACUAAAGAUGCGGGAUGAACCUGACGUGUAGUUAAAAUGCCAGAAUACACACUUAUCAGACACUAUAAAAGGUGUUAGGUUAUCUGGACAGCCUGACGGCGCCCAUAGAAGUCGGAAACAGCUAAUGAGUGUGUAUCAAUUCACAAGCCGAAUGAGCUAGAUCUGAAAAUGGAUGGCGCUUAAGAAAUGUUACUUAUACUUUGCCCAAACAAUUUUGUGUUGUUUAGAGAAGGCAGGCGCGGAUGUAGCGACGAAGCCUUAGAAUCUGGGUCAAGCUUCGUCUAGUG
rnacentral:ncRNA from 1 species